GACGAACGCUGGCGGCGUGCCUAAUACAUGCAAGUCGAGCGCUGAGGUUUGGUACUUGUACCUCCUGGAUUAGCAGCGAACGGGUGAGUAACGCGUGGGUAAUCUACCUGUGAGCGGGGGACAACAUUUGGAAACGGGUGCUAAUACCGCAUAAAAACUUUAAACACAAGUUUUAAUUGUGAAAGAUGCAAUUGCAUUACCCAAAGAUUGUCCCGCGUCCUGUUUGCUAGUUUGUGAAGUAAAAGCCUCACCAAGCGAUCAUACAUAGACAGCCCUGGAGGGUGAUCCGCCCAAUUGGGAAUGGGAACCGGCCCCAAACCCUAAGGGAGGCCGCAGUAGGGGAUCUUCCGGCAUGGACGAAAGUCCGACCGAGCAAAGCCGCGGUAGUGCAGGAGGUUUUCGGGUCGUAAAACUCUGUUUGUAGGGAAGAACGUUAGUGGGAGUGGAAAGCGCAUCAAGUGACGGUAACUACUCAGAAAGCGACGGCUAACUACGUG
rnacentral:rRNA from 1 species